AUCGGAUCGAAUUAGCUGAACAUCUUUUUCGAGAAGGAAUAUAAACAAGCGAUUCUGAAAUUCAGUCAAUAAAUCAUCUACAGUUGUAAGCCUAGCUGGCAACGAGUUCCAAAGUCGUAUGCGUUAAAUUGAAGAUGAUUUAUCGUAAAUGUUACUUGCAGACCUUGGUAAUCGCAAGUAAUCUUGUCUAAUAUAUCUCCUCGGCGGAUUGCAACAUCCAGGAAAUGCAGCUAUGAGCCAAACAACUGUCGAUUAUUUAAUCGAAUAAUAAUAAUAAUAAUAUUUUCCUGAUAAGCACAAUAUAUAAAUCGGCACCAAAGUUAGUUAGACUUAUCUUCGACUGCUUGUCUAAAACACUAUCUACUGCUUCCUACGCUUCGAAACGCAAUCAAUUGUUCAAAAAUUAAAAAAUGUCAAAACUCAUUGUGUUGAUUGUUUUGAUUGCUGUUCUGGCAAAUAUAUUGAUUUCUUCAUCUGUCAUGGGCUGUCAAGGGAACGGUCAGGGUUGUAUAACUACCGCUUCAUGCUGCAGCGGUUUGAGAUGCGAUUAUAGUAAUCUUCACGGUGCCGGCGGGAAAUGCAUAUAAUGAAAUUACUUCUUUUACUAAAUGUUGAUGUUACUUAUGUAAUUAGUCACUAAAUAUUUUUCUAAUUAUUCACCUGUAACAGCAACUAUAAUUAAUGAAUUAAUCUGUCAAUAAAGAAUAACAGAACCAAUGUA